GUUUUAUAGUGCUGUUUUGAACCGCCAAGAUGAGAAGUAGAAACGAAUAGUCGUUUUGCAGUUUCCCCGCGUUACUGUCAUUUUUCUUUUUCGUUUUCGAUCGGUAAUAUAUUUUCUCUUGCGAUGCACGCGUUCAGCUCAGAUUGGUGCGCCAAAACUACCGGUCUUGCAUAUUUACCUAUUGGGAUUUAUUAGAUUUUUCACUUUGCUGUCUCUCUCUUUAUUGCAUAGGGAUACAGUUUUGCCUGUAUCAGUACAUGGAAUUUUGUGUUUAGAUCAUCAUCAUCAUCAUCAGAAGUUUCUGUAAUUCCCAGACUCCAUUUACUCAAAACCCAGGUUUUUUCACAAUUAGCAUUUUAAUUGAUAUGAGGUUGGUCAAAUGAUCAUCAUGUCUAGGAAACCAGACUUAUAUCCCUCACGUUGUAGCAUAUUGGAGUUUCUUUGACUUGGUGGAAAUUGGAAUGGAAAAGAAAAGAAUGGAUGACUAUGAACCAGGGCCACUUCCUUCACCGAAACAAUUGGACCGAUUUGGCUUUGUAAAGCAAGAUCUUGGUAAUUCUCCUGAAGGCUUAACAAAGGGCAGGUCAGCAUAUGAAUUUGAGAGGGAGGAAAGAAGAGUAAGGAAAUGGAGGAAGAUGAUUGGAGUCGGAGGAAGUGAUUGGAAACAUUAUGUUAGGAGGAAACCUCAUGUGGUUAAGAGACGAAUAAGAAAGGGAAUUCCAGAUUGUUUAAGGGGCCUUGUUUGGCAAUUGAUCUCUGGAAGUCGAGACCUUUUGCUGAUGAAUCCUGGGGUUUAUGAGCAAUUAGUCAUAUAUGAGACAUCAGCAUCAGAGCUGGAUAUAAUUCGAGAUAUUUCUCGCACCUUCCCUUCACAUGUUUUCUUCCAGCAGAGACACGGACCUGGUCAGAGGUCCCUCUACAAUGUUUUGAAGGCGUACUCAGUCUUUGAUAGAGAAGUUGGAUAUGUUCAGGGAAUGGGCUUUUUAGCUGGUUUAUUGCUUCUCUAUAUGAGUGAAGAGGAUGCAUUUUGGUUGUUGGUUGCAUUACUGAAAGGAGCCGUACAUGCUCCAAUGCAAGGCUUAUAUCAGGUGGGUCUGCCUCUUGUACAACAGUACCUUUUUCAGUUUGAUCACUUGGUGAAAGAGCAUAUGCCAAAGCUGGGAGAGCAUUUCAUCCAAGAAAUGGUAAAUCCGAGCAUGUAUGCAAGUCAGUGGUUUAUAACUAUUUUCUCAUACUCUUUCCCAUUCAACUUGGCUCUUCGAAUUUGGGAUGUUUUUCUGUAUGAGGGUGUUAAAAUUGUUUUUAAAGUGGGUUUGGCUCUGUUGAAAUAUUGCCAUGAUGACCUGGUAAAAUUACCCUUUGAGAAACUCAUACAUGCUUUGCGUAACUUUCCCGAGGAUGCAAUGGAUCCAGAUACGUUAUUGCCCAUGGCUUACUCAUUUAAGGUUCUUUCUCUUUCUUGUGUCUGUGCUUUUGUGGUAUUACAUAUUGCUGUUUAGUCUGAAUCAUUACUACUGUUGUCUGCUAAGAUAAGACCCUAAUGUGAAACUUUCGCCAAUUAACAAGCAAACAAGUAAAAAAGUACAGGAACUCCAAUUGCUAUUAUGCACCUGUUUUUUGGUCCAAAAACAUUAUCCCAAUUUGAAGGUACCCCAGAGCUUCUUAUCUGUCAUAAUUGUUUUCAACUAGCCAUCACUAAAUUAUACUGGAAGGCGUACCAAAUAAUUGUUUUCUAUUAGUGAUGUCAAACAUCAUAUUUUCCACCUUCGAUUUUGAAGCAUUGGCUAUAUAUAUAUAUGUGUGGUGGUUUCUUGAGUAACGGUUGUCAGACGAACAAUUAAUUAUGCCCUGCAAUUUGAGGACUGCAUGAAUCCAGCACUUGGAUACAUGAUCCUAAUAUCCUAGUCCACAUAAGCUUUCCAGCACAUGAAUUGCUCAGUUAUUUUAUGUGUAAUAGUUGCAUGAUUGAUCUAACUGUCUUUAUAUUAAUAUUCAGAUCUCCAAGCGAUUGGAAGAAUUGCAACAGGAGUAUGACAAGAAGAAUGGGAAGGUAGUUCAACCUCUGGAAUCUAGUGAGAUUCAGAAACAGUAGCAACGAAGAAUUUUGUCUAAUCUUGAGGAGCCUUGCCUUGCUUAACCUGAAUGAUCUAAUUCUUUUGUUCUUGUGUCAAUGCAGCUACAUCUUAAAUGACUGCUCAUAGUAGCAAAGUUUUUCCAAUCAUGGACGACUGCUCAUAGUUGAAAAAGUCUAUCAAAUCAUAUGUUGUAAAUAAAAUCUUUUAUCAGCAAAAGUAGGGUGACUACAAUGGUCAUAUCUUGUCAUCACCUAUUAGCUGUAAAUGUAAGACGAUGCAAAUUGAGGUAUGGUGCGGCAGGCUUCCCUCCUCGCCUCUUGUUAGAGCCUGUUUGGGAUUAUGAUUUCCAAACCUGCUUUUUAGAAAAAUGCUAUUUUUAGAUGUUGUUAAAUUGUUUAGUUGUUUUAGAGUUACUAUUAAAAUAUGUCAAAUAUAAUUUGAAUUUAAUUUUUAAUAACAUUUAAUAAUAUUUUUCUCAAUAGGAGUUUAAAC
rnacentral:misc_RNA from 1 species